UCCUUAUCAGACUCUUUAAGCAAUUUUCCUGUCUGUCAGUUGAAUCCAUAUACGAAUUACAGCAUCUUCACCGGCACUUAUAAUAGUCUUGUUCAAUGGUCCCCAAACAGCUCUAUUUAUUCUUCCCUGGGGCCCCUUGAGUGUAAGCACACACUCUCCAGUCUCUACAAAUCACAUAACAGUCUAGUUGGACCAAUGGAAUCAAAGAGGCAUUCAAGCAUAAGAAGCACCAUAAGACCAAGUAGAUACUAACAGAUAGUAAGUUGAUGAGGAGUAAGAAUCAGUGAGUCAAUCAGAAAAGACAAUAAAGAACGCGUCUGUUAGUCUCUUCAGGACAUUUAUCAUUAUCACUUGAAAAUAUAAUAUUAUAGCAUCCCAUUGAAUAACUACUAUUGCCAAUUAACCCGGAGUUCAGAAUGCCAUUUCAGUGAUUCUCCUGCCAUUUCAUCUCGAUAAGCAAUCUGCUUGUGCAAACAAUACUGCUUGAAAGAUGCAGGAGGACCUUUUGCAGGUUUUCGUUACGUUCUGGACUUUUUUCUUCUUGGUUAAUAAAAUCUAGCCUUACAACAUGAACCAUAAAACGAACUAAGACUUCCAUAAUCAAACCUCAAGGGGUGUACCAAAAGAUUCCAUUCCUACCGCCGCCCCCCACCCCCCACCACCACCAUGGACCACCCACAAAGGCCAACACCUGUGUCAGCUCCAUUUUGUUAAUUUCCCUUGCUAUAAGAAGUUGCAAGCUGAGAAGAUAGAAAAGAAUCUGAAGAAGGAAAAGAAGAAUCCGAAGGUGGAACUCUGCAGAAGUUCAGAUGCAGAGAUGUAGCAGCAGCAGGGGAGUAGAAAUGCAGAGAGGAGAACGCAACAAACAGAAGAUAAAGGGAAAGAGGAAAAGAGAGCGAUGCAAGAAGAGGGAAUAGAGAGAAAGGUAUAGAGGAAAGGAGAGAAACACAAGGAGAAAGCAGUCCAGAAUCCAGAUAUAAUAGGAUCCUUCAAAAUUAGCUAGCAAAUAUCCUAGGUAUUCUUAAAACUAAAAAAUGGUCUCUCCUUCUUUCUAGAGGACCAACUGAGACCCUUUUUCCUGUCUCGUCAAAAACAGUAGCACAAAACCUUACCAGAAGGCAAAAAGAAAGAAAAGAAUAGAAAGAGGCCCAUCUAUAGCACUCGAGGUAGAUGCUCCCCUUUUCAG